UGGGGAAUCUUGCGCAAUGGGCGAAAGCCUGACGCAGCCAUGCCGCGUGAAUGAUGAAGGUCUUAGGAUUGUAAAGUUCUUUCGCUCGUGACGAUGAUGACGGUAACGAGAGAAGAAGCCCCGGCUAACUUCGUGCCAGCAGCCGCGGUAAUACGAAGGGGGCUAGCGUUGUUCGGAAUUACUGGGCGUAAAGCGCACGUAGGCGGACUUUUAAGUCAGGGGUGAAAUCCCGGGGCUCAACCCCGGAACUGCCUUUGAUACUGGAAGUCUUGAGUAUGGUAGAGGUGAGUGGAAUUCCGAGUGUAGAGGUGAAAUUCGUAGAUAUUCGGAGGAACACCAGUGGCGAAGGCGGCUCACUGGACCAUUACUGACGCUGAGGUGCGAAAGCGUGGGGAGCGAAACAGGAUUAGAUACCCGUGUAGUCCCUGAGCGGGCUGGCAAGGCGCAU
rnacentral:rRNA from 1 species